UCUUCGUCGCAAGCCCGCGGUGCAGGGAAGCCGGUGUGAAUCCGGCGCGGUCCCGCCACUGUGACCGGGAAGUGUGCUCUUCAGCAGGACAGGCCACUGGCGGAAACCAUCCGCCGGGAAGGCCGGAGAGCGCGCGAUGAUCCGGGAGUCAGGAUACCGGCCGUGGGGUGUUCCGUGUU
rnacentral:ncRNA from 2 species